GCUUUUGGGAAAAGGGUUGGCUUGCUUUUAAGUUUGUAAAAUAUGAUGCUUGGAUACAUGCAAAGCUGACUGAUUAAAAUAUCCAUCACUUUACAUACUCGUCAUUUCUUUGUGGGAUAGCACCCUGUUUGAAGGCCAAGGAAGAGACCUGGAGCCAGCAAACAAAACAUAUGGUCUAUUGAAAGGACUUACAGAGAAUUACAAGUGGAAUAAAAGGCAGGCUGUUUUCAGUCCCUGAUGAGUAAAUGUAGCAUUGAGAGAUGUGGUUGGCUGAGGAUAGAAUAUCUGGUACAUCAGUGUGAGCUGGUUGACAUGAGAAGGACUUGCUGUUUGAAUGAAAAACCUCAAAGCUGAAGCUGAGUUUAUCAACUGCCCAGAAAGAAGGAGGAGGAUACUUACAGAAAUCUAAUGAUUUUGAGACAUGCACUACCUCAAAAAUUUUAUUUUACGCACUAUUUGGUUGAUGUGUUGUGUGAAGAUCUUUCAUAGCAUCUAAUCAGGUAUAAUUCCUGAAUGACACUGAGUUUUAUAAUUUUUCUCCCACCCUAUUCUCACUAUAUAUGAAAUCCUUGAUUCUCCAUACUCCACUUGUUUUUAAUAUCAAUACACAUUUUUCUCCUAAUGUAUCACUCUAAUUGGCAAUAGCCACAUGACCUAGACUAGAAUAUUACUUAAAAUAUUUUGACUGUUAUAAUUAAAAGGUAAUUAUUUUUAUAAUUUGUGACUGCAAGUCAAUUUCACAGAGCAUGUACCAUGCCUUGAGAUUGGGGAAUAAUACAUUUUUGAAAAUUUAAGAAAAACAUCUAAUUUUGUUAUUAAAUAAAGAAUUACAUUCAAC
rnacentral:lncRNA from 10 species